rnacentral:misc_RNA from 1 species
CUGAGAACCCUGCCCUUUUGGGUAGACCUCACACCCUUGAUUACCUAUACUAUGUUGCUUUGGCGGGCCACCAGGCUCACGCCCGGUACCGGCUUACGCUGGCCAGUGCCCGCCAGAGGUUUUAAACUCUGAAAUUUUAGUGUGUCAGAUUAUCAAAAAUAAAUUUUUGA